rnacentral:rRNA from 1 species
CCAAUAGCGUAUAUUAAAGUUGUUGCAGUUAAAAAGCUCGUAGUUGAAUUUCGGGAUUUGCACAUCGGUCGUGCCUUAAGGGGUAUGAACUGGUGUAGUGAAUUUCUCACCUUCUGGAGAACCGUGAUGUCCUUAAUUGGGUGCCACGAGGAACCAGGACCUUUACUUUGAAAAAAUUAGAGUGUUUAAAGCAGGCAUUUUUGCUUGAAUACAUUAGCAUGGAAUAAUAAAAUAGGACGGCAUGAUUCUAUUUUGUUGGUUUCUAGGAUCACCGUAAUGAUUAAUAGGGAUAGUUGGGGGCAUUAGUAUUCAAUUGUCAGAGGUGAAAUUCUUGGAUUUAUUGAAGACUAACUACUGCGAAAGCAUUUGCCAAGGAUGUUUUCAUUAAUCAAGAACGAAAGUUAGGGGAUCGAAGACGAUCAGAUACCGUCGUAGUCUUAACCAUAAACUAUGCCGACUAGGAAUCAGACGAUGUUAAUUUUUUAAUGACUCGUUUGGCACCUUACG